rnacentral:rRNA from 1 species
AUUGAACGCUGGCGGCAGGCUAAACACAUGCAAGUCGAGCGGAGUGAUGGUGCUUGCACUAUCACUUAGCGGCGGACGGGUGAGUAAUGCUUAGGAAUCUGCCAUUUAGUGGGGGACAACAUUCCGAAAGGAAUGCUAAUACCGCAUACGUCCUACGGGAGAAAGCAGGGGAUCUUCGGACCUUGCGCUAAAUGAUGAGCCUAAGUCGGAUUAGCUAGUCGGUGGGGUAAAGGCCUACCAAGGCGACGAUCUGUAGCGGGUCUGAGAGGAUGAUCCGCCACACUGGGACUGAGACACGGCCCAGACUCCUACGGGAGGCAGCAGUGGGGAAUAUUGGACAAUGGGCGGAAGCCUGAUCCAGCCAUGCCGCGUGUGUGAAGAAGGCCUUUUGGUUGUAAAGCACUUUAAGCGAGGAGGAGGCUACUAGUACUAAUACUACUGGAUAGUGGACGUUACUCGCAGAAUAAGCACCGGCUAACUUCGUGCCAGCCGCCGCGGUAAUAC